AGCGAACGCUGGCGGCAGGCUUAACACAUGCAAGUCGAGCGGGCACUUUCGGGUGUCAGCGGCGGACGGGUGAGUAACGCGUGGGAACGUGCCCUCUGGUUCGGAAUAACUCAGGGAAACUUGAGCUAAUACCGGAUACGCCCUUUUGGGGUAAGGCUUGCUGCCGGAGGAUCGGCCCGCGUCUGAUUAGCUAGUUGGUGAGGUAACGGCUCACCAAGGCGACGAUCAGUAGCUGGUCUGAGAGGAUGAUCAGCCACACUGGGACUGAGACACGGCCCAGACUCCUACGGGAGGCAGCAGUGGGGAAUAUUGGACAAUGGGCGCAAGCCUGAUCCAGCCAUGCCGCGUGAGUGAUGAAGGCCUUAGGGUUGUAAAGCUCUUUUAUCCGGGACGAUAAUGACGGUACCGGAGGAAUAAGCCCCGGCUAACUUCGUG
rnacentral:rRNA from 1 species